AAUUGCUCUCCUUUCCUCCAAUGUGUUCACAGUCCUUCCCAGUUGUGUGUUGUUUGCAAACUUGCUCAAGGAACUUUCUAUGCAAGCAUCCAAAUCAUUAACAAAUGCAAAAGGCAG